CCCGUAGCUAACGUGAUAAAUCGACCGCCUGGGGAGUACGGCCGCAAGGUUAAAACUCAAAUGAAUUGACGGGGGCCCGCACAAGCGGUGGAGCAUGUGGUUUAAUUCGAUGCAACGCGAAGAACCUCACCUACUCUUGACAUCCUAAGAAGCUUUCAGAGAUGAGAGUGUGCCUUCGGGAACUUAGAGACAGGUGCUGCAUGGCUGUCGUCAGCUCGUGUUGUGAAAUGUUGGGUUAAGUCCCGCAACGAGCGC
rnacentral:rRNA from 1 species